GUUCCAGCCCGUCGUGUGCUGUAACUGCCGCGGGACAGGGAAGCCGGGCUGUGGACAGAAACGGAGCCCUACGGCUCAGGGGCUGGAGUCCUCGCGCCCCACGUGGCUGUAGUCACCCCACGGGCCUUCAGGGGGGCGACUAAGGCCACGGGGGGGUCAUAGGGCGAGGCCUGGUUCCAUAGGACCCGCGUCCUUAGCAGAGGGAGACGCGCCCAGGACCUGCCCGGAGGGAAGGCCGUCGGAGGACACGGCGAGAAGGCGGCUGUGUACACGACCGGGGGGUGGCCUCGGGGGAGACCUGCGACUCCUGGACCUUGGACUUCCAGGCUCUAGGACUGAGGGGUGGGUCGCGUCUUAACGGGCUCAGGGGGCUGGGGGUUGGGGGCCGGUUAUGGCCGUGCCCUCCCCGCCCGAGCCGGUCACGGCCCCCGCGGCAGAUGCGCACGCUCGACCGGGGUCUGCUCCUGCUCCCACUUUGCAAGUCAGAGGGUCAGAGCGUGAGACCCUUUCUUGGCCUCUGGCCUCCUGCUCUGAGCCGCCCGCUCUGCUCCCACGGCCCUGGACCUGCCCCGCUGGGGGAGGCAGGUGGGCGCUGGUGCCCCUAGAGGGCCGCCCGGGGCCCCGUGAGAGCGUGCCGAGCCGUCCAGCUGUGACAACAGGCUGGUGGCCGGUGGGGGAGGGGGUGGUCUGCAGCCUCGCCAGCUGUGCCCGAGGCGGGUGCACCCACCCCGGGCUGACACGGGCCCUGGGUGCGCGAUGGGCUCCUCCCGGGGCAGUGAGGGCGGCAGGAAGCGGCUGGUGCUCCUCCAGGAGGGCACCCGGCCUGGGUCACGUGGGAAAAGGAGAGAAACUGGCCCUCGCAGGACUUGGGCUCGCCACGGCCGGGACGGCGCCGCGUCCCAGAGCUUUCCUGGUGGACCACAUCCUGCCGGGGCAGCGAAGACGAGGCCUCGGGCUGUCGGGAUUUCCAGGGAGCGCGAGGGCCACCCUAGUGUCCGGCCGUGGCCUCUGCACCCCGAUCUGGCUCUGCCCGGGGACGUUUCCGAGGAGAGCUCCCAGCGGUCUUGGCAACAGCAGAUGGAGUCCCGUCACCAGGGAGAAGGUGCCGAGCGACCUGGACACCAAGGGACUCCUUCCAGCUGGCCGCGCGGGAGGACCGACUGACUCUCGAAGCCAGAAGUGGGAUCCCUGACCCAGCACAUGGCCAGCUGCAGCCGAGGCGGGAGGGCGUGUCACUGGGUAGACUGGGGACGGCACGAUGGCGGCGCGCCAGGAAGCCUGAGGGCAGGUGCGGUUGCGCGUAGGGCGUAGGAUGCCAAACCCCAAGUGCCAGGGCGUCAUGAGCUCAGGAGGGAAGACAGCCGAAGGACGCCAGCCUCGCGGUGGCAGGGCCACGUGGAGGGCCCGCCGGCCUGGGCCGCAUGGCCACUGCGCAGGCUGCUCCCCGGGGCACACACCUGCCAGGCCUCCGCCCCGCGGCGUGAACGUGCGUCCCCGGGGCACCGCUGUGCCGGUGAAGACACGGAGCGGGGCCGGGAGGUCGCGGCCAGCUUGUGGGCUUUCCGGGCUCGCUGCUCCCCUCGGCUCCCUGCCUGCUGGAAGCGCUCUCGCGUCCCGACUCCAUCCCAACUUCCGAGCGCGAGGGACCCUCCCUGUGGCCCUGGGGGGACGAGGGUUCAGACGCUUGUCACCUUCAGCCUCCUGCCAAUUGUAAAUCGCUGCAAAAGUCGAGGAGGGCACGCUUUCCUGGUCUGAUCCUGAUACGGAAUCGUCUUCUUGUGGCCGUUCCUUCUGGAAUUCCCUGCUGCCCACCGGGAGAGAGCCUGGCAGGCCGUCGACAGGCCUCAGCACGCCCCAGAUAUGCCCAGGCCCUCGCCCGCGUCGUAGUCCCUGUCACAGAGCAGUGGCUUCUCACCCUGGGUCUAAGCACCCUGACGCUCCUGACCUGAGGCGCCCUGGCUGCUGGGACGGGCUCCCUGAGCGCGGAGCCGGUGCCUUGGGUCGGGGCCAGGGGUGGGCGCGGCCCUCCGGGGGCUCACGGCCCCUCUGGGGGCUUUGCCGGGCGCUGCCACUGCUCGUCCAAGGCCUAUGCCCUCCUGCCGCGUUGGCAGCCCCGAGUCCUGGCGGGGGUGGGGGGCCGAGGGAGCAAGCACGCGUCCCAGAGCAGCGAUGCCCAGCCCCGCGCCCUGCACCCCAUGCCCCCUGCGGCGCCCAGGCCUGCAUCGGAGACGUCACGCUCAGCACGUCCCACCCGCCCAGGAAACCAGGCCCCGGUCGUGCCGCCGGAUGAUGCUUCAGGGCGAUGCUCCAGACGCAGCGCUUCCCGGGAACGGCCCUGGCCCCACGCAGGCCCCACGCACCCGCCUCGGGGGCUCCUCAGCCCAGGGCCGGGUUUUGAGUGAGGUGGUGCCGGGGGGCAGGGGGGGGCUUCCUGGCCUCGAGCUCUGCAGCAGCAACAUCUGCUUUAUGAGAAACGGAGCUUCAACCAUCGGGGCUCCUGGGUUUCUCCUCCGAGUUCCCGACCGACUGUGCCUUCUCUACAUUCUUGAGGUGACAUUUAAAGCUCCAAGUAGGUAAUGCGAAAGGGAGGUAUUUUAUAUGUUAAAGUUCACGCGUGUCCCGGCUCCUCCUGGAGGACCUGCUUCACUAGCGUCCCACGGACGGGGUCCUUGAGGGGUGUGGACGGGCCCGCACGGAGCUCGCAUGGAGACGCCGGGCUCGGCCGCAGAUCCCCUCCUGCCGGGGCCCGGCCUGGGGAAGACGCCGCGCCUCCUGCCAAAUCCGGGCUCCGUGUUCCCUCGGACGGGCCGUGCUCCCGCGGAGCCCGGAGGCUCAGAGCCCGGCCGGGUUGGCUGGAGCUCUCCCUCCUCUUAGGCUUUGCCUUCCUUGCACGUGUUAUUAUUAUUUGAGUGGAUGUAUCCUUUUUGGCAUGUUCUGCAAACAAUCGACUUGAGGGUUGAGAGAGACAAGAAGAGAGAGGAAGGAGGUGCUGUCGUCCGAUCCUGACAGGGCCUGUGCCGGCCGCGGGGCAGGGAAGGGGCUGCCUCGGCCCGGGGGGCGCGGACGGUGCCGGCGUCCCCUCUGCCUCCGCUCCGGACCGACUGAGACGGAUCCCGUUCCUGGUCUCCGGCGUCCUUUGUGUUUUUAACGAUCGUCGCGGCUCAUCGAUCUGUCAGCCUUCCGCGGCAGCGUCCCGGGGGAAAGGCAGAGGCAAAAGCCCCUGCUGGAUGUGGCAAAGGACAGUCUGGCGACACGGAGGCCAGCCCGAGUUCAGGGCAGGUGGGGCUCUGCGGGGUCCUCGGCUGCUGCCGGCACCUGCUGGGCCAGGGCCAUGUCACACAGAAGCCACCCAAGGGAGGUCUCGGCCCCGAGGCUCAGCAUCGCUGUGAUGGAGGCCUUGGUCCUGCAGGCCCAGGCUGGGGAGUGUCGGGUGUGUGUGCGUGCAUGGUCCUGCCGGAGCACCAGCUGGGGCGCACGUCCAGGAGGGAGGCACAAGCGUCUGCGGGGCCCCCCGGGUGCCUCCAGGGGACCACGUGGCGUCACCCAGGAGCCAGAAGGCUGAUUGCCAACCGCAGGCGUCAGGGAAGCCGACCGCCAGCCCGAGGCAGGUGCCUCGCAGGAAAUCCGUGUCUGUUGAGGCUCAGGAACGGACACGUGAGCAAGAAAAUUGAUUUCAGAGGGAUUCUCACGGGCCUUGUGUUAGAGUAGCCUCCAGUCCCUGUCCGCAGGAGGUGAGCCCACCUUGGGUCUGUCCCCCCGAGGGCCGGCGGGGUGACCCUGCCGGGGGGUGGGCCGUGCCCACGCAGAGGGGACCCCCUGCCCCAGCCCGGGGUCCCGGCCCCCAGCCCCGAGACAGGCCGGGUGCCGGGAGGGCGACGGGGCUGAGGGCAGGCGUGAGCCCAGGGGACGGGGACCCGGACGGGCGAGGGGGGACCCGGGGUUCCAGCCCCGAGCCCCAGGCAGCUGUGGUGGGGGCCCCGGGGAGACCCCCGCUGUCCCCUCUGGGCGGGAAGGUCGUGACACUGGGGCCUGCUUGGAGAGUCGCUGGGUUCAGGACGCCUGGGCCCCGAUGCCGGGGGGUGACAUCCUUCAGGGUGAAGCCUUCAGGGGGCCCUGCCUGAGGGGCUGCGUCCUCGGCUCCUGGGGGUCGGGUCGCUGUGAGGAUCCCGGGCUCCCGACCAGGGACGUGAAACCCGAGGGCUGCACGGAUUUUCCGGUCGCCCAGAGAGCGAGUGUCAGCGUGGGCGCCCCUUGGGCCCCGACCACCCUGCUGCCCUGGGGUUGUACCCCCAGAGCUCGAGGGGUCGAGGGCCCCGGUUGGUGCUUCUGUGUGAGUGGGGGCAAGCGGAGGGCGGGAAGGCCCGCAGCCCCUGACGACCCCCAGCCCCUGACCACCCCAACCCCUGACUGCCCUGUAGCCCCCGAUCGCCCCCAUCCCCCAACCGCCCGCAGGCCCCUCCACGCCGACUGCCCACAGGAACACAGGUCAACUCCUCACCACCUCUGGGGGCUCCCAGCCCAGAGACGAUGGGAGGACAGACGCCUGGGGGAGUGGGAAGGCCACAGAGGAGGGGGUUUGCGGGUGGCCACGGCCCCCUGCUCCGUGCGGAACCCCAUGUGCUUCCCCACACGGCCUGUGCUGUGCCCUGGCCUCGGAGCAGGGGUUGUAGGGCCGGGACCGGGGCCUCCUGCAUCCCGAAGAGGUGGCUUCUGGGAGAACUUACAAAGAUGCAUUGGGAGGCAGAGGGUGGGGCCAGCCAGCCCUGGAGGCCCCGCAGAAGCCCCCGCCCCGGCCAGGGCGCAGCACCACCCGCGUGCCUUGGGCCCCCGGGAGGCACGUGCACCCGGACCUUUGUGGCCUAGACGCGGGUGGGGGGAGCGCCCAGAAUCCCAGUGUUAACCUGGUGAAGGUGGGGGUGUCCCUUUGGAAUUGCUGGGCAGGCCCUCAUCAGCGUGGGGGGGCACAACGGAGGCCUCUGGCAGGUGCCCUGCCCCCCACGGCUGCCCUGCCAGCCCACCUGCAGGCUGCCGGGUGCCCCGGCCUGGGGGCUGCCCCCAAAGGGCGUCUGCGGCAGGUGGGGGCGAGGGCCAGUGGGUCUGCAUGUCACGCGCCUGUGAGAUGGGGAAACCGAGGCACCAGCAGUGGGUGCUCCCGCUGCCGCGCUGCCCGGGGGGGCCGGGGAUGGCGGGUCCAGUGCUCGGUGUGACCGUCCGCCGCCGAGAGCCUCAGACCUUCCCUCCAAGGCAACAGCGUCCCGGGCGUGGAGAAGCCGGGGCCCCACUGGGUGUGACUGUGGACGUCACAGGCGCCGGCCCCCCGCGUUGCACCCAGAGCCUCAGGGUGACCCUGGCGGGCGGCAGCCUCAUCUCCUCGACGAGCGAGUGACCCCUGGACGCGGGCAGCCCCGGGGACUCGGCCGGCACACCCGCCGUCUCCCGGGAAGGCCGGCCACCCGCACGGUCCGGGCUCAGGCCUCCGCGUGAAGAGCUCCCACGGCCGACGUGGGGCCGCGCUGUCCUCGGGGGAGGCCACGCCGACCUCGGCACGUCCAGCUCUGACCUCCUAUCUCACGCCCGAGCCGCUCGUUCAACCGAGGGAGGUUUUUUCCGUCUGGGGGAGCUUGCUUGUGACGCGGAGGUGGGCGGCUGGUGGUUUCCGUGCGGGCCGGCUGGACGGGCUGCUCCGCCUGCGUGGGGCCUG